GACGAACGCUGGCGGCGUGCUUAACACAUGCAAGUCGAACGGUAAGGCCCUUCGGGGUACACGAGUGGCGAACGGGUGAGUAACACGUGGGUGAUCUGCCCUGCACUUCGGGAUAAGCCUGGGAAACUGGGUCUAAUCCCGGAUAGGACCCUGGGCGUCAUGUCCUGGGGUGGAAAGCUUUUGCGGGGUGGGAUGGGCCCGCGGCCUAUCAGCUUGUUGGUGGGGUGAUGGCCUACCAAGGGGACGACGGGUAGCCGGCCUGGGAGGGUGACCGGCCACACUGGGACUGAGAUACGGCCCAGACUCCUACGGGAGGCAGCAGUGGGGAAUAUUGCACAAUGGGCGCAAGCCUGAUGCAGCGACGCCGCGUGAGGGAUGACGGCCUUCGGGUUGUAAACCUCUUUCAGCACCGACGAAGCGCAGGUGACGGUAGGUGCAGAAGAAGGACCGGCCAACUACGUGCCAGCCGCCGCGGUAA
rnacentral:rRNA from 1 species